rnacentral:rRNA from 1 species
UACGAAGGGGGCUAUCGUUGUUCGGAAUCACUGGGCGUAAAGGGCGCGUAGGCGGCUUUAUAAGUCGGGGGUGAAAGCCUGUGGCUCAACCACAGAAUUGCCUUCGAUACUGUAUGGCUUGAGACCGGAAGAGGUAAGUGGAACUGCGAGUGUAGAGGUGAAAUUCGUAGAUAUUCGCAAGAACACCAGUGGCGAAGGCGGCUUACUGGUCCGGUUCUGACGCUGAGGCGCGAAAGCGUGGGGAGCAAACAGG